GGGGAUGUAGCUCAGUUGGGAGAGCGGCGCGUUCGCAACGCGUAGGCCGGCGGUUCGAGUCCGCUCAUCUCCACCA
rnacentral:tRNA from 1 species